rnacentral:rRNA from 1 species
AGAACGAACGCUGGCGGCAUGCCUAACACAUGCAAGUCGAACGCUCACCGGGCUUCGGUUCGGUGGGAGUGGCGCACGGGUGAGUAGCGCGUGGGAACCUGCCCUGUUGUGGGGGGAUAACCGAGGGAAAACUUCGGCUAAUACCGCAUGCGCCCGGGGAAACCCGGGGAAAGAUUUAUCGCAGCAGGAGGGGCCCGCGUCGGAUUAGGUAGUUGGUAGGGUAACGGCCUACCAAGCCUUUGAUCCGUAGCUGGUCUGAGAGGAUGAUCAGCCACACUGGGACUGAGACACGGCCCAGACUCCUACGGGAGGCAGCAGUGGGGAAUAUUGGACAAUGGGCGCAAGCCUGAUCCAGCAAUGCCGCGUGAGUGAUGAAGGCCUUAGGUUGUAAAGCUCUUUCGCCCGCGACGAUGAUGACGGUAGCGGAGAAGAAGCCCCGGCUAACUUCGUGCCAGCCAGCCGC